rnacentral:rRNA from 1 species
UUAACAAAAACAUGUCUUUUUGAAUUUAAAUAUAAAGUCUAAUCUGCCCACUGAUAUAUUAUUUAAUGGCCGCAGUAUUUUAACUGUGCAAAGGUAGCAUAAUAAUUAGUCUUUUAAUUGAAGGCUUGUAUGAAUGAUUGGACGAGAUAUAAUCUGUCUCAUAAAAAUUUUUUUAGAAUUUAAUUUUUUAGUUAAAAAGCUAAGAUAAACUUAAAAGACGAGAAGACCCCAUAGAUCUUUAUAUUUUUUUUUAUUAUUAUUUUUUGGUUUUUAUAUGUAUAUAUUAAUAAAUAAAAAUAUUUUGUUGGGGUGACAUUGAAAUUUAAUAAACUUUCAAAAUUUUAUGCCAUUGAUUUAUGAAUUUAUGAUCCUUUAUUAUUGAUUAAAAAUUUAAGUUACCUUGGGGAUAACAGCGUAAUUAUUUUGGAGAGUUCAUAUUGAUAAAAUAGAUUGCGACCUCGAUGUUGGAUUAAGAUUAAUUUUGGGUGUAGCAGUUCAAAUUAUUAAGUCUGUUCGACUUUUGAUUUCUUACGUGAUCUG